GACAGAGGUGCCGAGCGUUAGGCGGAAUCACUGGGCUUAAAGCGUGUGUAGGCGGACUCGUAAGUGCUUUGUGAAAUCCCACGGCUCACCCGUGGAACUGCUUGGCAUACGUGCGAGCCUUGAGCCACUUAGGGGCAACCGGAACAAACGGUGGAGCGGUGAAAUGCGUAGAUAUCGUUUGGAACGCCAAUGGUGAAAACAGGUUGCUGGGAGUGCGCUGCGCUGAGACACGAAAGCCAGGGGAGCGAACGGG
rnacentral:rRNA from 1 species